CAGGCAACAGAGAACCAUCCUUUCUGCAAGUGCGCACAGAAGCCACCGUUGACCACAGUCAUGGUUGCCGUGAGCAGCAAAUCCUUCCUUCUCGCCCUCCUGGUGUUGGCUGUCGUCUGCAGUCUGGCAGCCGCCCAGUUCGGCUUCGGCCGCGGCUUCGGAAGGGGCUAUGGCGGCUACGGUGGCUAUGGCCGCGGCUUCGGAGGGUACGGCCGCGGCUUCGGUGGAUACGGCCGUGGGUUCGGAGGCUAUGGACGCGGCUUCUACGGCUGAGCCACUAUUGUAGUCGCAUGAUUGAGGACACGGAAACGCCCCAGAACAGCGGAGGCGCAGCUAGAAUAUUCAAGACAAAGAAGGGAGCAAUAAAUAAUUUAUUUUGGCAAAGGGA
rnacentral:lncRNA from 1 species